rnacentral:rRNA from 1 species
GUGGGGAAUAUUGGACAAUGGGCGAAAGCCUGAUCCAGCCAUGCCGCGUGUGUGAAGAAGGUCUUCGGAUUGUAAAGCACUUUAAGUUGGGAGGAAGGGCAGUAAGUUAAUACCUUGCUGUUUUGACGUUACCAACAGAAUAAGCACCGGCUAACUUCGUGCCAGCAGCCGCGGUAAUACGAAGGGUGCAAGCGUUAAUCGGAAUUACUUGGCGUAAAGCGAGCGUAGGUUGUUCAGCAAGUUGGAGGUGAAAUCCCCGGGCUCAACCUGUGAACUGCCUCCAAAACUACUGAGCUAGAGUACGGUAGAGAGUAGUAGAAUUUCCUGUGUAGCGGUGAAAUGCGUAGAGAUAGGAAGGAACACCAGUGGCGAAGGCGACUACCUGGACUGAUACUGACACUGAGGUGCGAAAGCGUGGGGAGCAAACAGGAUUAGAAACCCCUGUAGUCC